rnacentral:rRNA from 1 species
GAGGAGCUUGCUCCUCUGAUUUAGCGGCGGACGGGUGAGUAACACGUGGGUAAUCUGCCUGUAAGACGGGGAUAACUCCGGGAAACCGGGGCUAAUACCGGAUAAUAAGAAGAAACGCAUGUUUCUUUUUUGAAAGUCGGUUUCGGCUGACACUUACAGAUGAGCCCGCGGCGCAUUAGCUAGUUGGUGAGGUAACGGCUCACCAAGGCGACGAUGCGUAGCCGACCUGAGAGGGUGAUCGGCCACACUGGGACUGAGACACGGCCCAGACUCCUACGGGAGGCAGCAGUAGGGAAUCUUCGGCAAUGGGCGAAAGCCUGACCGAGCAACGCCGCGUGAGCGAUGAAGGCCUUCGGGUCGUAAAGCUCUGUUGUUAGAGAAGAACAAGUACGAGAGUAACUGCUCGUACCUUGACGGUACCUAACCAGAAAGCCACGGCUAACUACGUGCCAGCAGCCGCGGUAAUACGUAGGUGGCAAGCGUUAUCCGGAAUUAUUGGGCGUAAAGCGCGCGCAGGCGGUCUCUUAAGUCUGAUGUGAAAGCCCACGGCUCAACCGUGGAGGGUCAUUGGAAACUGGGAGACUUGAGUGCAGGAGAGAAAAGUGGAAUUCCACGUGUAGCGGUGAAAUGCGUAGAGAUGUGGAGGAACACCAGUGGCGAAGGCGGCUUUUUGGCCUGUAACUGACGCUGAGGCGCGAAAGCGUGGGGAGCAAACAGGAUUAGAUACCCUGGUAGUCCACGCCGUAAACGAUGAGUGCUAGGUGUUGGGGGGUUCCACCCUCAGUGCUGAAGUUAACACAUUAAGCACUCCGCCUGGGGAGUACGACCGCAAGGUUGAAACUCAAAGGAAUUGACGGGGGCCCGCACAAGCAGUGGAGCAUGUGGUUUAAUUCGAAGCAACGCGAAGAACCUUACCAGGUCUUGACAUCCUCUGACCACUCUAG